rnacentral:rRNA from 1 species
AUUGAACGCUGGCGGCAGGCUUAACACAUGCAAGUCGAGCGAGCGGCGGACGGGUGAGUAAUGUCUGGGAAACUGCCUGAUGGAGGGGGAUAAAUACUGGAAAAGGUAGCUAAUACCGCAUACCAUCAGAUGUGCCCAGAUGGGAUUAGCUAGUAGGUGGGGUAAUGGCUCACCUAGGCGACGAUCCCUAGCUGGUCUGAGAGGAUGACCAGCCAAACUGGACCUGAGACACGGUCCAAACUCCUCCGGGAGGCAGCAGUGGGGAAUAUUGCCCAAUGGGCGAAAGCCUGAUGCAGCCAUGCCGCGUGUGUGAAGAAGGCCUUCGGGUUUUAAAGCACUUUCAGCGAGGAGGCGUUACUCGCAGAAGAAGCACCGGCUAACUCCGUGCCAGCAGCCGCGGUAAUUC